rnacentral:rRNA from 1 species
GAUGAACGCUGACAGAAUGCUUAACACAUGCAAGUCCACUUGAACUUCGGUUUGGGUGGCGGACGGGUGAGUAACGCGUAAAGAACUUGCCUCACAGAUAGGGACAACAUUUGGAAACGAAUGCUAAUACCUGAUAUUAUGAUUAUAUGGCAUCGUAUAAUUAUGAAAGCUAUAUGCGCUGUGAGAGAGCUCUGCGUCCCAUUAGCUAGUUGGAGAGGUAACGGCUCACCAAGGCGAUGAUGGGUAGCCGGCCUGAGAGGGUGAUCGGCCACAAGGGGACUGAGACACGGCCCUUACUCCUACGGGAGGCAGCAGUGGGGAAUAUUGGACAAUGGACCAAGAGUCUGAUCCAGCAAUUCUGUGUGCACGAUGAAGUUUUUCGGAAUGUAAAGUGCUUUCAGUUGGGAAGAAAAAAAUGACGGUACCAACAGAAGAAGUGACGGCUAAAUACGUG